rnacentral:miRNA from 1 species
GCUUAUAUUUGUGACCGGAGGGUG